AGGUUUGUUUUGUUAGUGAAUUGACAGCUCCUGUCCUAUUUUAUAAAAGGGAAGAUGUUAUGGGUGUAAGAUGGCACAGUGAUGCCAUCUGUUGGUAAAUGUUAAUUACUGCAACUCCAGUGUUUUACCGGUGUGCUUGAGAUACCCGGAUGUAUUGCAAUAUACUGAACCAGACUGGUUACUCGCAUCAAUGCCUCUGUCUCGUCAUUUAACAUUCAAACAGAAACCUGCUAUUUUUCUCCCCAGUCAUCUCUAACCUACUUGUCAGGAGAGCAACGAACUCUACAAUCUCAACAAUGGUUUUGACAGCGAACUGGUUGACGAUCAGUGCUGGUCAAUAUGCCUUUUCAGUGGGAACAGCAACAGUCUCCACGCCUGCUCUGUUGGGACUGGGGGUACUAGCUGUUUUCACAGCUACCGUCUAUUACGUCUACACAACUGGCCAGGAGAAACAAGAGAAUAAGCAGAAGGCGGCAUAGUGACCCCGGCCCCUGCUGGAGGACCCAGACAUCACAACAGACCUCCACUAUGCUAGAUAGUCAUAGUUUGUGUGUUUCAAGGUGUUGUUGUGUUGAGAACAUGGAACUUUGUUCAAAAAUAAAAUAAUGAUUUUCACAUGUGAA